AUUGAACGCUGGCGGCAGGCCUAACACAUGCAAGUCGAGCGGAUGAAGGGAGCUUGCUCCUGGAUUCAGCGGCGGACGGGUGAGUAAUGCCUAGGAAUCUGCCUGGUAGUGGGGGAUAACGUCCGGAAACGGGCGCUAAUACCGCAUACGUCCUGAUGGAGAAAGUGGGGGAUCUUCGGACCUCACGCUAUCAGAUGAGCCUAGGUCGGAUUAGCUAGUUGGUGGGGUAAAGGCCUACCAAGGCGACGAUCCGUAACUGGUCUGAGAGGAUGAUCAGUCACACUGGAACUGAGAAACGGUCCAGACUCCUACGGGAGGCAGCAGUGGGGAAUAUUGGACGAUGGGCGAGAGCCUGAUCCAGCCAUGCCGCGUGUGUGAAGAAGGUCUUCGGAUUGUAAAGCACUUUAAGUUGGGAGGAAGGGCAGUAAGUUAAUACCUUGCUGUUUUGACGUUACCAACAGAAUAAGCACCGGCUAACUUCGUG
rnacentral:rRNA from 1 species